CACUCACAUUAUCUGCCUGGGAGGGACCUCACAAAUAUGGCUGUAUCAACAGCUGGGGGGCCAAUCUGGGCCCAGAUGGCUCAAUGGUACUCUUCCCUUGUAGCCUUCCUUACAGUUGGGGGUUAUCUCUGGUCAACACCCAGAGUCACUGGGCCUUGCCCAAGGGGUAGGCUUGCAACUGUGGGCUUGAUGCUUCCAUGCGGUCUCAGCAUGAUGGAACAAGGAGAGCAAGGACUUCCUUGCCUACCUGCCUCACCCCCAAACCUGGAACAGAGAGAAGGAGCUACCUUCUCAGAGACAUCCUUCUCCCUCCAGGGAGGGAGUCUCAUCCAUCUCUGUUUGCUCCUCAGGUAUAGGAACAAAAUCCAAAACUGCAUCCUGCAUCAAGCAACUGCUUGCGUUUUCUGAGCAAAUCUACUAAAUCUGGAAGAGCAUCAUUCGGAGUGGUAUCUUCCCUGACUGGCUAGAGAAUGUUCUCUACAGGCUGAAAUACGGGGCUUCUGAGAACUCCCCCCCCCGCCCCACCCUGCACUCUGGAAUUGCUCCUCCUAUAAAAUGAAUUGUUUGAUGAGAAUACAAUAAUUCUGUUCCAAACACUCUAUUUCAGCCAAUAAAACAUGAUGUUCCUUGUUUGCCUGAUCAUUUG